AUUGAACGCUGGCGGCAGGCUUAACACAUGCAAGUCGAGCGAGCGGCGGACGGGUGAGUAAUGUCUGGGAAACUGCCUGAUGGAGGGGGAUAACUACUGGAAACGGUAGCUAAUACCCCAUACCAUCAUAUUUGCCCAGAUGGGAUUAGCUAGUAGGGGGGGUAAUGGCUCACCUGGGCGACGAUCCCUAGCUGGUCUGAGAGGAUGACCCGCCACACUGGAACUGUGACACUGGCCAGACUCCUACGGGAGGCAGCAGUGUGGAAUAUUGCACAAUGGGCGCAAGCCUUAUGCAGCCAUGCCGCGUGUGUGAAGAAGGCCUUCGGGUUGUAAAGCACUUUCAGCGAGGAGGCGUUACUCGCAGAAGAAGCACCGGCUAACUCCGUGCCAGCAGCCGCGGUAAUUC
rnacentral:rRNA from 1 species